GGUUUAUAGGAUUUAUUACAAAUCAAAAAAACAUAAAGAGAUAAUAAACAUCAGAUAUUAUCUUUACCAUCUCAGCCCACACCAAAAUUCCACCUGUGUAUCAUGUCUUAUUUUAAAAUAUUAGAUUGAUAAUUAUUUUAAAUAUAAUAAACAUAUUACAUCUGACAUAUUCCUUUUUACCAAGUAAUUGUCUGCCACUUAUGAUAAGGGGCAAGACUAGAGAAGGAGAUGAACUUUUAGGAAAUGUCUUCCUUUUUCUGAAAUUCACACACUGGGCAUACUGGUAGGUUUGCAGAAAUACGUCCCGGCGUUUCUGUGGCAAUUGCGCAAUCGCAGUGCCAAGUUGAGUAGAACAAACUCUUUUCAUGAAACCACAACACUUUUUCUGUCAGCCUGACUAUAAACGGUCCAUCAGGUACAACACAAAUUUGCUAGGUUUUAAAUUCCCUGAAAAUUCUGAUAUGAGUUCAAUAAUGAUAAUGCUCCCAACCCUGUUAAAGGCUGUUUUUUCAUAUGCCGUGGUAUAAAUAAUAAUAAUACUGCCAGCUUUUAGUUGUGCCAAAAUUACUUUACUGCUCCCCUGCCCUCUUUUAUCUCUAGAUGAAUCCUUGGCCAUGGUACCAUCAGGAGGAGAACUUUGGGAUCAACAUCCUGGGCCACACAGCAGAAUGAGCAAGAGGACGUCCAAACACAGUAUAUUUUGAAGUAAGUGAGACAAUAUACAUUACUAUCUAAACAGCCCCCCACCCCAGGUAAUUAAGUCCAGAGUCAAAAAUUAUCUAACUGCACUGCUGAUAUUUGGAUCUUGGUAUGACAUCAGGAGACAGAUUGCUGGUGUUGGUCCUCAUUCAGUGGGUACUAGCUUUGCAACAGGAAAGAAACUGCCCAAGCCUAGCUUCUGUUUUAGAAAGGAGAUUCAGGCAAUGGUAGCUUUUCCCCUCAGCAAUAGGUUUGUUACCUUGAAUGGCUGUAUAAUGGUCACAAUGUUUCUCUGCAUUUAUUAAUGUUAUACUCUGUGAACUCAAGAAGAGUCUUGAAGCUGGACCAGACCAAAGGUCCACCCAGUCCAGCAGCCUGUUUGUCCACAGUGACACAGCCACGUGUUUCCCGGAAGUCGAUAAGCUGGGGGCAAAGGCAUGAGCCUUCCCACACCAACUCAGCAGUACAUCACUAUGCCGUGGUGGAGAAUUUGGGUGGCUGGGUGUAUGGGGAGCCAAACCUGCACCUUGUGGGUUUUUUCUCUAUGCAGCUCCUUGGAAGUCUGUAAAUUACCAGUAAUGCUAUUAAGCAGGGAUGUCAACAUGAAUAAAAUGGGGGGGGGGAGCUAAGCUCCACCCCACAUAAUCACAUGAUGCGGCACUUCCACACCAUUUGAAUGGCAGUGCCCAUCAAAUUUGGGGGGAGCCUUGCAGGGAGCCUCAGAGGCAACUAAGUGAAGUAAUACACAUCGCCAUGCAAGAGUGACCUCCCCCUACAACACCAUAAAGUCCAGAGUCUAAAAUUACUUAAUAGCAGCACUGGUAAAAGGUAAAGGGACCCCUGGCCAUUAGGUCCAGUCGUGGCCGACUCUGGGGUUGCAGCGCUCAUCUCGCUUUAUUGGCCAAGGGAGCUUCCAGAUCAUGUGGCCAGCAUGACUAAACUGCUUCUGGCGAACCAGAGCAGCGCAUGGAAACGCCGUUUACCUUCCCGUCGGAGCAGAACCUAUUUAUCUACUUGCACUUUGACGUGCUUUCGAACUGCUAGGUUGGCAGGAGCAGGGACCGAGCAACGGGAGCUCACCCAGUCGCGGGGAUUCAAACCGCCGACCUUCUGAUCGGCAAGUCCUAGGCUCUGCGGUUUAACCCACAGCACCAGCAACACUGGUACCAUCAACCUAUUACCAUGCUGUGGCUUGGGUUUCAUAUAUACAGUGCCCUGGUUUGCACUCGUAAAAAUCUGUGAUUGAAACUAAGAACAUAACAGAUGUUUGUUUCCUGUAAAGGAAGUGCAUGCAGUCUCAUUUGCAUUAUAGGUAUAAUACAAAUGAGCAUCUCCAUAUUUGGAAUCACAAUGACGCAAACCAGAUAGAGCAUCUAAAACAGGCCUGAAUAUCUUGAAUGCUUUUUAACAUUUUAGCGCCUUCUUGAAAUCAGUCGUUUUAGUAUGGGAACAGAGCUAAAUACAGAAUCAAGGUAAGUUGAAGCAAUCACUGGGACAGUCUCUGAAAGUUCUUGAGCAUACGAGAGGCUCACAUGUGUAUUUCAUGAAAGAAGCUAUACAGCAACCUAAAUCACUUCAGCUCUUUUUCUAAUCCCAAAGAAAUGAAUCCCUCUCUCAUUAGGCUCCACAUAGGUUCAGAUGUUAUACAUUGUGGUAAUUAUUUCCAAAUCACAAGUGCAAACACUCACCCUGAUUGGAAAAUUAGCAGAUUUCAAACUCGGGUAAUUUGUUCUUAAUGAGGAACUUGUUGAACUGAAUUUAACAAUUAGCUCACUCCCUUUGCUGGCUGAAUGUGAUAGGGUUAUGUGGAAGAGAUCAAAUAUUCAUCUAAGUGAUUUCAGCCAAAAAGCGAGGGGAGGCGAUCAAGGUUGUAAUCUUACGCACACUUACUUGGGAGUAAGUGCCACUGAAUUUAAUGGGACCUAUUUCUGAGUAUACAUACUUAGGAUCCGGCUGCAGAAAAACUCAAUACUCAAUACUUCUAUUCCUCCAGUGCUAUUAUGAAGCAGCCAAGACUGUGAUUCUAAAAGGAGGUGUAUAGUUGAUCAUUCUUCAUACCUGAAGAUGAUAGAACAGAAUAAGGAUGGAUAGAUCUGCCAGUCUCACUUUCUCUCUCUUUCUCAUUUUCACAGUCUGAAAUUCAGUUCACCACAUUUUUGUAUCAGUUUCUGUCUUAAAAAUAUAAAAAAGUCAUCACCAAAAAUUGCCAGCAUUUUAAGGUGUAUUUCCCCUAAUAUGCAUAUUUGGAUGCAAUUUUCCCAACUAGAAGCACUUUCAAUGCUUUUUUCCACUAAUAUGUACAUUGUUAUGCACACCAUCCUCUAAUAUACACAUUUUUUGGUUGGAGAACUGCAUUGCAUAAUUUGGAAAGUAUGGAUUUCGGAAACUAACUGUGUGUAGGUAGAUUUGCAUUAAAAUGCAAACUGACCCAAGUUUCUCUCCCUUCCCUGUAAUAGAAGUACAGUUGACUGUGGGUGCAGAUAUUCUUUUUUGGGGGGAGAAGUGAGUCCCACUAACAGUAGCUGGUCACACAGGCUUUAUAGGCGUUUCAAGCGCUACAAAAAAGAGAAAGAAAAAGCUUGUAUGGGACAGAAAAAAAUGUGUUUCAACCCACCAGUCAACACUAGUUCUAUCCUAACACCAAUAUCUCCAGAAAACUAUAGUGUCUACUAGCAAGAGGAAGAGAGGAAGGGACUCCUGCACUUUGAAGAGUUGUGUGAAGAAGUGAAUUUCAGCAAGUGUAACUUGCGUGGCAAUCUAAACCUUCUGGCAUUCGGAUUUCUACACAACCAUUAAAGAUGUAGGAUAUGUUUUCUCUCACACAUCUGGCCCCCCACGUGAUUCUUUAACAGUCCAAUCUUAUGCAUGUUUAUGCAGAAGAAAGUCCCAAAGGGACCUGCUACCAAAUAAGUGUGCAUAUGAUUUCUUUGUAAGUCUAACUUAAGAGAGCAGCCAGUGCUGUGUGUUAGAUUCUUGAAAAUAAGUGGCAAGCUUUGGCUUAGUGUGGGCACAGUCCAAUAAACCAUAUUUGUUAGAUGAAGAACAAGGAUUGUUCUACUUCAUCUUUAUUCAUUCUCCCUCAUCAGGAGUGCGAACCUUGUGCACCUCCCACCCAGAUGUUGCUAGAAUACAACUUCCAUCUGUUCUAACCAGCAUGACCAACGGUUAGGAAUUAAGGGAGCUGGAUGUAAAAGUCUUUUCUACUUGUUUUAUGAAUGGCAUUUUAUUGUUAAUUUUAUGCUGUUCACUGCCAUGACAUGUUGGAGGUAUAUAGAAAUUUGCCAAUAAAUAAAAUAGAAUAAUCUCAUAAACCAGUGAAUCUAAUGAAACAUUUAUAGGGUUUAUUAAGACACAGUUUAAUCACAGUUCUUGGUUUUGACCCAUGAGAUUAAACCUGGAUCAGAUAUAAUGGGAAACUAUGAUUUAACAAGGUCUGGAAGACUUGCCAGAACGAUGCAAUGACCUUUUUCACACAGGUCCCUUGCAUGAGAGGUUGCAUUUUCAAGUAGCUACCUUGUCAGUGAUUGUAUAUAUAAAUCAGAUUUUGCCUCUUGAGCCCAGGAGUUAAAUUACAAGAAGGCAUUCAGAAUAGCACUUAAAGCAACAUGUGUGGGGUGGUGCGGCUGCAUAAGCACACGGGCUCUGCCCUCCAUCAUCAGCACCUGUCUCCAGCAGGAAAACCACCUCUAUAUGUGGAAGAAAACCAGGAUUUCAUAACCCUGAUUUCCCAGGGUGUUAAAAUGCACAGAAACCACCCUCUGUAGAGUAGGCUUCCCUAGCACAGUCAGUCACCCUGGAUGAUGCAGAGUGUAACAUGGAAAUGGGGGAACCAGAACUAGCACACUCAUGCACACUCUCUGCUCCUUGCAUGUUCCUUGAAACCCUAGGAUUUGUGAGACCUUUGGUUUUCCCAUGUUACUGACUGGCAAAAAGGAACCAGGAACAAAGGAACUUAAACUAUGAUGCAUGUGUUUUUCUCUUAAUGUAUUGUUAUACACUCAAGGAUAUAGAUACUAAGCACAGUUCAAUAAACUGAUAUUUGUCCUAGGGCAACUCUGCUUGUUCUCAGCUCUUUGGCUUACUCUCCUGUUCCUCCUCAUAGCAUUGGUGGCACCUAAGAAGGGGAUGCUGACCUCCUGGCCCCUUCUUUUUUUCU